UUUAUCGGAGAGUUUGAUCCUGGCUCAGGACGAACGCUGGCGGCGUGCCUAAUACAUGCAAGUCGAGCGGACAGAUGGGGGCUUGCUCCCUGAUGUCAGCGGCGGACGGGUGAGUAACACGUGGGUA
rnacentral:rRNA from 1 species